rnacentral:rRNA from 1 species
CCUACGGGAGGCAGCAGUGGGGGAUAUUGCACAAUGGGGGAAACCCUGAUGCAGCGACGCCGCGUGGGUGAAGAAGCGCCUCGGCGCGUAAAGCCCUGUCAGCAGGGAAGAAAAUGACGGUACCUGAAGAAGAAGCCCCGUCUAACUACGUGCCAGCAGCCGCGGUAAUACGGAGGGGGCAAGCGUUAUCCGGAUUUACUGGGUGUAAAGGGGGCGCAGACGGCGAUGCAAGCCAGGAGUGAAAGCCCGGGGCCCAACCCCGGGACUGCUCUUGGAACUGCGUGGCUAGAGUGCAGGAGGGGCAGGCGGAAUUCCUGGUGUAGCGGUGAAAUGCGUAGAUAUCAGGAGGAACACCGAUGGCGAAGGCGGCCUGCUGGACUGCAACUGACGUUGAGGCCCGAAAGCGUGGGGAGCAAACAGGAUUAGAUACCCGAGUAGUC